rnacentral:rRNA from 1 species
UGGGAACGCGAAGAACCUUACCAGGUCUUGACAUCCCGUUGAUCGCUCUGGAGACAGAGCUUCCCUUCGGGGCGGCGGUGACAGGUGGUGCAUGGUUGUCGUCAGCUCGUGUCGUGAGAUGUUGGGCUAAGUCCUGCAACGAGCGCAACCCCUGUCGUUAGUUGCCAUCACGUAAAGGUGGGCACCCUAACGAGACUGCCGGUGACAAGCCGGAGGAAGGUGGGGAUGACGUCAAAUCAUCAUGCCCUUUAUGAUCUGGGCAACACACGUGCUACAAUGGAUGGUACAAAGAGGCGCAAAGUCGCGAGGCAGAGCAAAUCUCAAAAAGCCAUUCUCAGUUCGGAUUGGAGUCUGCAACUCGACUCCAUGAAGUCGGAAUCGCUAGUAAUUGCGAAUCAGAAUGUCGCAGUGAAUGCGUUCCCGGGUCUUGUACACACCGCGUCUUGUACACACCGGGGGUCUUGGUACACACCGGAGGUCGGUGGGGAGGGGCAA